rnacentral:rRNA from 1 species
AACGGCGAUACCCUGCUGAAUAUACCGGUUCUCUUUAGAUCACCGAUGUCAAGCAUCAUUGGGCGCGGUCAGUACUUGGGUGGGUGACCAUCUGGGAAAACACCGCGUGCUGU